UUUUUAAUUUUUUUCUUCAAUUUUUUUAAUUUUAUUUUUCCUUAUAUAUAUGUUAAUAUAAAUUAAUGUUUGUUUUAUUUUCUUUAUUGUGAUUUGAAAGGAUCCUAAAUUAGUGCUUACAUUAUUUCUUUAAAUUUUUUACUCUUCUAAUUCCGUUUUUUUAAUUUAAUUUUUUCCAUUUUUUUCUCAUGUACAACAUUUAAUUAAUGUUUGUUUUAUUUUCUUUUAAAAAAUGACGUUUUCUCUUAUAUUUAU
rnacentral:lncRNA from 1 species